UACAGAGGUCUCAAGCGUUGUUCGGAUUCAUUGGGCGUAAAGGGUGCGUAGGCGGUCUGUUGCGUCCGCUGUGAAAACUCGGGGCUUAACCCCGAGCCUGCAGUGGAUACGGGCAGACUAGAGGUAGGUAGGGGAGAAUGGAAUUCCCGGUGUAGCGGUGAAAUGCGCAGAUAUCAGGAGGAACACCGGUGGCGAAGGCGGGUCUCUGGGCCGAUACUGACGCUGAGGAGCGAAAGCGUGGGGAGCAAACAGG
rnacentral:rRNA from 1 species